rnacentral:rRNA from 1 species
UUGAACGCUGGCGGCAGGCCUAACACCUGCAAGUCGAACGGUAACAGGAAGAAGCUUGCUUCUUUGCUGACGAGUGGCGGACGGGUGAGUAAUGUCUGGGAAACUGCCUGAUGGAGGGGGAUAACUACUGGAAACGGUAGCUAAUACCGCAUAACGUCGCAAGACCAAAGAGGGGGACCUUCGGGCCUCUUGCCAUCGGAUGUGCCCAGAUGGGAUUAGCUAGUAGGUGGGGUAACGGCUCACCUAGGCGACGAUCCCUAGCUGGUCUGAGAGGAUGACCAGCCACACUGGAACUGAGACACGGUCCAGACUCCUACGGGAGGCAGCAGUGGGGAAUAUUGCACAAUGGGCGCAAGCCUGAUGCAGCCAUGCCGCGUGUAUGAAGAAGGCCUUCGGGUUGUAAAGUACUUUCAGCGGGGAGGAAGGGAGUAAAGUUAAUACCUUUGCUCAUUGACGUUACCCGCAGAAGAAGCACCGGCUAACUCCGUG